UGGGGAAUAUUGGACAAUGGAGGAAACUCUGAUCCAGCAAUUCUGUGUGUGUGAAGAAGGUUUUAGGACUGUAAAACACUUUUAGUAGGGAAGAAAAAAAUGACGGUACCUACAGAAGAAGCAACGGCUAAAUACGUGCCAGCAGCCGCGGUAAUACGUAUGUUGCGAGCGUUAUCCGGAAUUAUUGGGCUUAAAGGGCAUCUAGGCGGUAAGACAAGUUGAAGGUGAAAACCUGUGGCUCAACCAUAGGCUUGCCUACAAAACUGUUGAACUAGAGUACUGGAAAGGUGGGUGGAACUACACGAGUAGAGGUGAAAUUCGUAGAUAUGUGUAGGAAUGCCGAUGAUGAAGAUAACUCACUGGACAGAAACUGACGCUGAAGUGCGAAAGCUAGGGGAGCAAACAGA
rnacentral:rRNA from 1 species